AUGCAAGAAUUAGGAGAUGUGUGCUGCUCCGUUGAGAAGUGGUGCGAAUUGGUGGGAAAAUUCACAGCCAGACAGCACAUGAUGCUACGUGGCACAAAAUUGGACUACGGCCUCAGUGUGCUUAAUGAAGAUGUUUACGACAUAUUUGGGCUACGUAACGAGGGUGAUGAUUCAUAUGAUGAUGAUUUUGUGAGAAGGGCCGUACUGGUUCUUAUGGGUACAGUCUUAGCACCACAAUCCACCAAGUUUGUUCAUUAUCGUUAUUACAAAAUGGUGGAGGACGUGAACGCUAUCAAGUCAUACAAUUGGAACAAUUUCACGUUGGAGGUGUGCAUGGAUGCUAUUAAAAAAUCGGUCGAAGAUCUUGAAAAAUUCAAGUGGCCUAUCGGGAACUUGGCUCUUCUUCAGAUGUGUCUGACUAGUUGUGUUUACUAUCAUGCAGUAUAUAUACUAGGAAAAAGUUGA
rnacentral:rRNA from 1 species